UUUUAUUACUACCAAUCUAUAAUCAUUCUUUGAAGCAAGCAGCGACACGAAUCACCAGAGGUUUGACCAUAGAAAUAUGAAAUCUCGGUAUGACGUAUUUCAUAAAAAUAUGACAUAAGUCAUUCACAAGUAUUUUUUUAUUGGUGCCUUCUUAUUUUAAGAGCUUUUUACUCGUUCAUUUUUAAGUACUUUAUGUAUAUUUAUUAAAUUUUUAUGAUUAAUCAAAAAUAGAUAUCUACCGAGUUAUUUCAACCAAGAAAUGGAUUGUUUUCAUCGAUUUCAUGUAAUGCGUUGUGAUGAUAAUCUAGAUAAGAUGAAAUGUGUGACAUAUCCAUGUGUAGGAUCUCCCACUCCAGCAAGGAAACCAUGCACUCUGAGGAAACCCAAACCAUUUUGUAGUAGAUGUGGCCGUUCGGAACCUGCUCCCUUGCCUUGUGGCCGAGUACCCCGAUGUUUUCAGCCAUGUAAUAAGUGCAUAGCAAAACAUAACGCAUGUCGCGGCAAAAAGAAGAGGAAAUUGAAAAAUAAAAAAACUAAUACAGACUGCAUCCUCGUGCCGCCGAUUCCUAAAUGCAUGAAAAGAAGGAAGAAGAAAAGAACUCGUUUUGAAACGCAUGACAUUCGCUCACCAUGCAGCAUAUUGAGUUUACAAAAUAAACGUGGUUUAGUAAACCCACAUCCUGGUCAGCAUCGGCAUUGUCGUAAAUAUUACCCCCUCCAUCCUCAAAUAUGUUGCGAUAAAUAUUUAAAUCGGAGUGAUUGUCACAGACCCAAGAGUUGCAGCCCUUGCAGAAAAAAUAUAGCAACGUGUACAAGCGCUGCAAUAGAACCCAAAUGUGUACAAAUAAGAAAAAAGAUGAAUCUGGCGAUUGGGGGAAGCUGCAAUGUAGCACCUACAUGUGACUCUGACACUGCUGUAGCGCAAUGUAAUAAUGAUGAAACAUUAAAAUGCACAACUGUUAGCAAAGGUUGCAUGUGUGAGCCGGGAUGUUGCGAUGAAUUGAUUUGUAACCUUAAAUCUGCUCCGUGCCAACGUCCUUACUGUGAAGAUGCCCCGUGUCAAGCCGGCGUAGUAUCCCCUUGCUUUAAUGAUCCACCAUGUAAGGUCGCCGAAACGUGCUAUAGACCAACGUGUUAUGAUGAUCCACUGUGUGAAAAUCAAAAAGAUGGUCCAUGCUAUAAUAGACCAAAAUGUUUUGAAAAUCAAUCGUGUGAAACUGAGAAAGUACCUCCAUGCUAUAGACCAAAAUGUUUGGAUGAUCCACCAUGUAAAGCUACAGAAUUUGACCCAUGCCCAUACCCUAAAUGUAUUAGAGAUUUAGCAUGUAAACGAGAUAAAGUUCCUCCAUGUCACCGCUUGAAAUGCUUGGACCAUCCGCCGUGUAUAGUUGACGCAUACCGUCCAUGCCAACGCCCACCGAAAAAACGCAAUAAACGAACAAAUACUAAAGCUAUAUCAAAAUGUUGGAAGUUGAAAAAGCUUCCUAAACUACGUAGAGUCAAGAAAAAGAUAUGCAGUAAAAAGAUAAAAAAUGAAUGUUGUGCAGAAGAUGUAUUGUGUGGGAAGCGUAAUUCCAAGUCAUCAGUAUGCGAUUGUUUGAGGAGCUUACGAACAAGGUCUCUCACAUGUUGUGCGACAGGGAAGCAAACGCAAGUCUCAACGAUUAUGGACUCGUGCUUGUAUAACCCCUGUCAAAGGCCGAAUAUAAUUACAAAAAUCUCCUGUAAUUCGAGCUCAAUGCGAAACUUGGGAUUAAUGCAAUCCUGUUUUCCAAAUCGCGUGAAGUUUUUGGAUGACUGUGGCAUGAGUCCGUGUGGCGAUUUGCCAGGGUGUUAUUUGUACAGGAAAGAAAAAUGUAUCAAAAAAUGCGAGCAGCAUAAAAAGAGGCAGAGGUGCUGCAAAUGUAUCUUAACUUGCAGUGUAGCAAUAUUAUGUGCGCCAUGUUUUCUGGUUGCUUUGAGUUAUUGGUUGAUCAAAUACGUAUGUUCCUCGUGUUAUGAAAAUAAUGAUUGUAACGAAGUGUAUCCUUGUGAAAUGCCAUCGGGUGACAUAUACUAUUCCGUCCCAGGAUUGGAUAAAAAUUGUCAUGGUGGCGUGUGAAGAAAUCACAUCCUGACCCUGGGAGACGAUACAAUUUGUACUACGUAGACGAUCGAGGAUGGGUCAUAAAGCCUGUUUCAGGGGGAGGUGACUGUAUCACAGAACCUUUUCUAUGUAACUCACCAGGACCAUUUCACUGUCCUUCUCGGAGAGCUAAUUGCCCACGCCCUGAAACAAUCGUUCUUUUCAAAACCUCUAACAAGUUAAGAAACCUUUUUAAUAAAGCUAAAUGUGGUUGUAUGAAAGUCUUACCAUGCUCGCUAGCCAAUGCACUGGAAUGCUCUUAUACGAAAGCGACAGGUGAUUGUAUGAAACACUGUGACCCAUAUGGUUCUAGAAAUAUUUACGAAUGUUGUAAAAAAUCAAGAAAUACUUUUGAAUAUUGUAAGAAUUCAGGAAAUAUUUGCAAAUGUCCAAGGGCCGGACAUUCUUGUAAAUGUUCUUUUAAGAAGGCCAUAACUACUCGAGCAAGCGAGUGGGUAAAAGGAACCUGCAGAAAAAUGGAUGAAGAUAGAGACAAAAUAUGCGAGGGUAUGAUGAAACGUGUUAAUAAUCCAAUGCGACGUAGUUUUCUCGGUUCCUGUUGGGAUAUCAUACGCAGUUUUUGUAAAGUGUCCAGGUACAUUUUGUGCACCUGUUUUUGUUGUCCAUUUAUUUUUUGUUUCUAUUGUUGUCACGAUAUUUGUCGCAGAAUUUGUUGCUGUCUCUUUUUCUAAUUAUUUUAUAGUUAAUAAAUAUGU